rnacentral:tRNA from 1 species
GUCCUUGUCGAUUAGUGGUUAGAUCAUCACGUUGUGGAACUACAUAGCCGUGAAGACGGAGGCUCGAAUCCUCCCUGGGACA